rnacentral:rRNA from 1 species
AUUGAACGCUGGCGGCAGGCCUAACACAUGCAAGUCGAGCGAGCGGCGGACGGGUGAGUAAUGUAUGGGGAUCUGCCCGAUAGAGGGGGAUAACUACUGGAAACGGUGGCUAAUACCGCAUACUAUCGGAUGAACCCAUCUGGGAUUAGCUAGUAGGUGGGGUAAAGGCUCACCUAGGCGACGAUCUCUAGCUGGUCUGAGAGGAUGAUCAGCCACACGGGGACUGAGAAACGGCAAAGACUCCUACGAGAGGCAGCAGUGGGGAAUAGUGCACAAUGGGCGCAAGCCUGAUGCAGCCAUGCCGCGUGUGUGAAGAAGGCCUUCGGGUUGUAAAGCACGUUCAGCGAGGAGGCGUUACUCGCAGAAGAAGCACCGGCUAACUCCGUGCCAGCAGCCGCGGUAAUUC